rnacentral:rRNA from 1 species
UACGAAGGGAGCGAGCGUUGUUCGGAAUCACUGGGCUUAAAGAGUGCGUAGGUGGAUAUGUAAGUCAGGUGUGAAAUCCCCGAGCUCAACUCGGGAACUGCUCUUGAGACUGCAUGUCUGGAAUUCGGUAGAGGUUAGUGGAAUACCCAGUGUAGAGGUGAAAUUCGCAGAUAUUGGGUGGAACAUCAGUGGCGAAGGCGACUAACUGGACCGACAUUGACACUGAGGCACGAAAGCGUGGGUAGCAAACGGG